AGAGUUUGAUCAUGGCUCAGGACGAACGCUGGCGGCGUGCCUAACACAUGCAAGUCGAGCGGGGACUGGGGAGUAGCAAUACGAGCUGGUUCCAGCGGCGGACGGGUGAGUAACGCGUGAGCAACCUGUCCCGAACAGGGGGAUAACGAGCCGAAAGGCUCACUAAUACCGCAUAAGACCACAGCAUCGCAUGAUGCAGAGGUCAAAGGAGCAAUCCGGUUCGGGGUGGGCUCGCGUCUGAUUAGCCAGUUGGUGAGGUAACGGCUCACCAAAGCAACGAUCAGUAGCCGACCUGAGAGGGUGAUCGGCCACAUUGGAACUGAGAGACGGUCCAAACUCCUACGGGAGGCAGCAGUGGGGAAUAUUGGGCAAUGGGCGAAAGCCUGACCCAGCAACGCCGCGUGAAGGAAGAAGGUUUUCGGAUCGUAAACUUCUAUCCCCGGUGAAGAUAAUGACGGUAACCGGGAAGGAAGCCCCGGCUAACUACGUGCCAGCAGCCGCGGUAAUACGUAGGGGGCAAGCGUUGUCCGGAAUGAUUGGGCGUAAAGGGCGCGUAGGCGGCUCGGUAAGUCCGGAGUGAAAUUCCAGCUUUUAAGGUUGGAAUUGCUUUGGAUACUGUCGGGCUUGAGUGCAGGAGAGGUAAGCGGAAUUCCCGGUGUAGCGGUGAAAUGCGUAGAGAUCGGGAGGAACACCAGUGGCGAAGGCGGCUUACUGGACUGUAACUGACGCUGAGGCGCGAAAGUGUGGGGAGCAAACAGGAUUAGAUACCCUAGUAGUCC
rnacentral:rRNA from 1 species